AAGCAGGUCGAGUUAAAAUUUGAAUUGGUUAAAAAGAAGGUUAAAGGAUGUUUGGUGAAAGGCGGAGGUUAAUGUGAAGGUUAAAUUUGUUUAUUGAUUUUAGUUUCUUUACUUUCUAAUGCUUGAAGCCUUGAAGGUUUGGGUAAAAACUCGGAUUAGAUACCCGUUUAUUCCAAAAUGUAAAAUAUGAUAUGUUUACCCGGGUAUUACGAAUAGAGAUUAAUUCGAGCUAUUUAAAACCUAAAAGACUUGGCGGUGCUUUAUUCUGUCCAGGGGAACCUGCCCCGUAACUGAUAGUCCGCGUUUUAGCUUACCUUAUUUUGAGUGCUCAAUGUAUAUGUUGAGUUCAGUUAGUAUAUCGUCGUUGUCAGGCGUCCCUCAAAGGUUGAAUAGAAGCCGGGAUAAAUAUGGGCGUUGUUAAUACUCAUUUUUAGGAUUUCAGAUCGAGGUGCAGCUAAUAAUAAGGAGGAUGGUGGGUUACUAUAAAUGUUAUUUUGAAUUAGGUUUGUAAAUAACUAUAUGAAAUUGGACUUGGAAGUAAUUUGGAAAAUUAGAAUAUCUAAGUGAAUUAAGCUCUGAGGCGUGCACAAAUCGCCCGUCGCUCU
rnacentral:rRNA from 1 species